rnacentral:rRNA from 5 species
AACGACUCUCGGCAACGGAUAUCUUGGCUCUCGCAUCGAUGAAGAACGUAGCGAAAUGCGAUACUUGGUGUGAAUUGCAGAAUCCCGUGAACCAUCGAGUUUUUGAACGCAAGUUGCGCCCUAAGCCGUUAGGCUGAGGGCACGUCUGCCUGGGUGUCA